ensembl:lncRNA
AUGUGUUUGCCUCCUGUCUCUCAACAAAAGGUAAGGACUUUAACCUGUGACGCUCCACAGCAGACUUGUUCUCAGUUGUCUGGUCUCUGGUUGGAGGAUCAGAAGGACACAGAGACCUACAUCAUGGCCAUCGCGGACCAGCUGCUGGAGUUGAUGUUCUCCUGGAUCGAUCAGAGGGAGUGCUGUGCAGAGCAGCUGAGGAAACUGGCCAAAGAGCUGGAGUCAUGCAGAAAGAAUUGUAAUAUCAGUGAAUGUGUUGGAACCACAGUGUCAGUGGCUGGAUCUGCAUGUAUGAUCGCAGCCGGUGUGGCCACUUUGUUCACCGGCGGUGCAGCUGCUCCACUUUUAGGUAUGGCAGGAGCAGUGUGUACAGGUGCAGGUGCCACUGUAUCUGUGGGUACUAAAAUCAUUGAGGGCUUCAAAUCCAGUGACACCAUUAAAGAGGCGCAAGAGAUAGAAAAGAAGAGCAACGAGGUUGCAGAAGAAAUACAGAAGCUGUUUGAACAACUGAAGGUGGAGAGUUUCUCCACAGACCCAAAUAAACAGGACCGACACGUCAUGACUGAAAUUCUGAAAGCCAUAGCCAGGCGAAGUGGACUGAAGGGGAGGAUUCGGAUCCGCAGGCUUGAUAAAGAGCUACAGAUUCUUUUCGACAAAGAACAGUCAAACGAGAGGCUCAACCAGAGCUUCUUGAACCCUGAAGUAAUGGUUUCACUUGGUGGAAUUUUAGCAUUUUUUGCACUUCAGCUUUGUGGAAAAACAUUGAAACGUUUCUUGGCUAAAGGAGCUGAGCAACUGAUCAAACAUACAUGCAAAGGUAGUGCUCUAGGAACUGACCAGUUCAUCAAAACUGGUGCCAAAGGAGCUAAAAAUAUCAUCAAACAAAUGUCUUCAAAAGCGCUAAAAGGAGGUGUCAUGGUUGUAGGAGGAGCUGUUGGUCUGGCGUUUGAACUUCCUGAGGCGAUUGACAACUGGACAGACCUGAUCAAGAAGAAUCAUGUGACUGAAGCGAGCCAAUCACUGAGAGAUACAGCUGACGCCAUUCUAGAGAUCACCGGGAUGCUGGGGGAACAGUUCAACAUAAUCAAGCAAAUCUUUGACGAGAUGGUGAAACGUCACGAGGAAAAGGCUUCCAGACGGAAAAGACUGAUGUGCUGCUUGUGCUGCUGGUAAUUUUUCAGUUUAUUUGUUUAGUUUUCAGCAAUCACAGAGACAAAAUGAAAGACAUGUGAGGGAAUGAGGUGAUGAAACUGAGCAGACUAGAAGAGAACCUGAGACAGAAACAGAGACUAACCAAGAGACAGGAAGGGAUCAGCAGGGAGGGGGUGAUCAGGAGGAUGAGGAGAGUGGAAGAGGAAGAGACAGAGGAAGAACAAUAUGAUAAUUGUAUACAAUAUAAUAUAAUAAUAACACCAUAAUAAUUAACGUUACAUUCAGCUCUGCAGAAUGAGGCCAGACCAGGUUAACAGAGAGUGACAGAACAGGCCCCCCAAUCCGGCCCCCCAGCAACACAACCAAAGGCCACAGCAGAGACGGCCGCCACAGAUUGUGACUUCUGAACAUUUAGAAUUAUUUCUUUCUGAUGUAUUAUUUGGUAAAUAUAUUUGUUCUUGGUUUAAAGGUUAUAUAAAAUGUACAGCUGUGCAAAGAUUAUGGAAAGGAUCCCCGCAGAGAUAGACUUUUUGUCUAACCAGAAACAGACGUGAUAUUACUUGUUAUUGACUUUGAAAGCAUUUAUUUUCACUGUGGAAGCAACCUGACAGACAGUCUGCAUCAAGCUUCGUCAUUUCUUGAUUUAACUGUAUUUAUUCAGAAGUUUAUGUUAGGAUUAUAUAAAUAUGUGUUUGUCAGGGAACUAUAAAUAUAUUUCAUUUGAUGUCUUUGAACAAAUGACCAGAGCAACGUUAAUCAGUCACUGAGUGUAAUCUGCUGCUCAAACACCAGAUGGCAGUAGAGAUCAGUCAGAUUCAAUCAACACAGCUGUUAAACUUCCUGAACUUGGAGAGACAGCGAUACCUGAGGGCAUUUGGUUAUUAAUAGUGGUGGUAAUAUGGUAAUCUAAUAGUAAUAAUUUUAUUAUAAAGAGGCUCAUAAAGUCAUUGCUACUUAAGGUUAUGGGGAUACAGUUUUCAUAUAUAUAUAUAUAUAUAUAUAUAUAUAUAUAUGUUUCUCCUACUUCAAAUGGUUCAAAAGUUAUACAAUAUAUAUAUAUAUAUAUAUAUAUAUAUAUAUAUAUAUAUAUAUAUUAGUACAGUGGAUUCCUUGUAUCAUGAUUAGAAUUGUAUGGCUAUAGGCCACGCCCAUUUGCGUCUUAAAAACAUUCUGCCAUUUUGGACUUUAGGAUUUUUUUGCUUCCUGGCACAUAUCUCAUCUAUUGUUCACUGAAAUUGGUAUACAGCAUAUUUAGUUGGAGCCAAACUUGACUUGAGGUUUGGGUUUGGGUUUCACUUACUGUUUGUCUGUAAUUGGUUGCCAUGCAUUUAGCAGGCCACACAUCUUCAAUUACAAUUUGCAUAUUGCACUUGGCUAUACGGAUAUUUUGAAAAUAUUUUGAUGAAUUGUUCAGUCCUAUAAGCUACUGCUUUAUUGUUUCAAAUGGCUGCACAGUAGCAAUACAAAACCAAAAAUUUCAUCAACAUGACUUUCACUGACACCUUUACAAACCAUAUUAUUUGUGACUAUAUCGAUCACUGAUUCCCAACCUUUCUCCUAAAGGGACCCUUUUCUGUCAGUGACUAAACUGACGGCCCCUGCUUAAGUGACAUACGUUAUGGAUAUUUGAUAUUAUAUUCAUACAGUUCAUUCAUAUUCAAACUGUACAAUAAACCCAAACAGUGAACAGUGAAGAUGAAGAUGAGAUGAAGGAGAAACACAAGAUCACUGUCAGUUGCUUACUGGACAAACCCAUCAUCUGAACAUCUGAACAGAGACACCAUUAUAGUGGGGAGUGCUAUGUGCAUAAUUCAGUCUAUGUUCAGGAUUAGAAGAGUAUAUCACUACUCAACUGCUCGAAAACAUGUUGAGAAAUAAAGAAAUGAUAUCUCCAGUAUUUCAGUGUCUUAUUCGAAAAUGUUGAAAAUAGUAAAUAAUGUCUGACAAUAUGAGGUACUUGUGUCCAUUGUAUGCAACCUGAUACUUGCAUACAAUCCACUACAUUUUAGAAUAAUCAUGUAUAAACCACGUAUCUCCAGAUGUGUUGAUUGAAUGUUUGUGACUGAAGGAUGAAAUGUUCCUUUAUAGGUUGAAAAAAUUCUUACUCCUACUUCUUCUUAAGAUAAAUAAGUAAUUUAAAAACUCUUUGGAUUAUUGCAUUGUCACAAAGCUGAAAACAGGAUUCCUCCUGGCUCUCCUGCUUUGACAUCCCUCCCUCUUAUGACGGCCAAUCACAAAGGAGGGACUGUAACCAAUCAUAUGUAGUGACAUGGCUACUUACUGCCAAAAAAAAAAUCACUUUCUAUUAUUUGUAGCUCUGAUCUUGCGCCUGCUCAACAAAUAGUUUUCUCCUCACAGACUACCAAAAUGCUCUCGCCAGCAGAGAAAUUCUGUGUGCAAAAGUAAUCUGCUCAUGGUUUUUGGCAGUGAUAUGCCGCCAUAAUGGACGACAUAAUUAAGGUUGGUUGACUGGGUCAGAACAUCUCCUAACCUGCAGCUCUUGUGGCGUGUUGCCGGUCUGCAGAGGUCAGUACGUAUCAAAAGUGCUCACAGUCUUACUGCUGAUCAAUAUAUCAGUCUAUAUACUGUUAGUGAUCAAUAUAUCAGUCUAUAUACUGUUACUGCUGAUCGGUGGAUACAACCACAACAACACAACAGCAUUGUUAGGGACUGCACAUAGGAUGUAUGCCCCUAAUGGAUAAAAAGCAAUACACUACUCUCAUUUCAUGAUAUUAAACUGACAGUGGCCUCAGAAUUUACUUUUACCACUGCUUUCACCUAAAAGGGGGCGGGAUUUCAUACAGGGCCAAAGUACCCGACUUGGCCACUCUCAUCUAUAAUGUGAUGCAAAGGAGAGUAUAUGAGUCUGUUCUCGCAUGAAGUCCAGAGUCUGAAAUCAAAGACGGAUUGGUUUACAAUAACUUCUGGGUACAAAACCUCUGACAGUUAACGCGAUGCAUGUUUGGUCAUUUAUCUGACAAUGACAUGGCCUCAGCCUCUCUGAUUGGACCAAAGCUAAAGUUCAGUUACUGUAAAUAUCAGCAUCUAUUACUCCUAUGUUCUCCUGGAUCAAGCAGAGGGAGUGCUUCGCAGAGAAACUGAGGAAACUGGACCAAGAGCUGGAGUCACUCAGGGAGAAGUGUAACGCUGCAGAAUGUGUUGGAAGCACAUAUGCAGUGGUUGGAUCCUUAUCUCUGAUCGGGGCUGCUGUGGCCACUUUGUUCACUGGCGGUGCAGCUGCUCCACUUUUAGUGGCAGGAGCAGCGUGUUCAGGUGUAGGUCUUACCAUAUCUGUGACUUCUUAAAUCACCACCACACCAUGAAAGAGGCACAGGAGAUUGAAAAGAAGAGCAAAGAGGUUGCAGAAGAAAUCCAGGAUCUGUUCAAGCAACUGAAGGUUGAGAGUUCCUCCACUGACCCAGAUGAAGUGGACCACCAACACGUCAUAACUGACAUUCUGAAAGGCCUGGCCAGAAGAUGUGGACUGAAAUGGCAUUGAAUUUCAAGAGGAUUUUUGUUGCAAUAAAGAGAAACAUCAACCAGAUCUUACUCAGACCUGCAGUGAAAGUUGCACUGGUAGUAAAACUUGCCAAUAUUUUACAAUUUUUCACAUUUAAAGUUAAUGGGAAAAUAUACAAACAUUUGUUUAAUAAAGGAGCUAAAGAAUUCACCAUACCAAUGAUUAAAAUUGCUGAAGAAGGAGCAAAAAAACUCACCAAAGACAUGGCUAAGACUGGAUGUAAAACAGCCUUUAAAGGAGGCGCUAUGGUAAGAUUCACUAACUAUACACACAUGAAUUGUUUCAUAAUUAAAUCUCAUAAAUCAUUUUAAAAUUAAAUAACAGCAUUUCUUUAUUUGUGAUUGUUAAUUAUCGUUUUUUUUAAUGAUUUUGGGACACGUGUUCUGAGGCUGACAGUCUGAUAAUAUUGAAAAUGAAUCACGUGUUGAUCCAUAUUCAUCAUCAGGUUGUAGGAGGAGCUGUUGGACUGGCGUUUGAACUUCCUGAGGCGAUUGACAACUGGAAAGACCAGAUCAAGAAUAAUCAUGUGACUGAAGCGAGCCAAUCACUGAGAGAUACAGCUAAGGCCAUUGAAAAGAUCUGCCAGACACUGAGGGAACAGUUCGACAACAUGAAGUAAGAAGUUUUCUGUGAUUCUCCACCCAGAUUCUCUCCUCCUGUAGAUCUGAGAACAGCAGCUGGACUCAUUUAGUUUAGAUUCAUGUGACUUCAAAUCCUGAC